AAAAAAAAAUUUAAGUGUCACUUUUGUAGAUAGAAGAAACACAUAAAGAAAGAUUGAGUCAAGUUUCAAUGAUGGCUUGAGACGAAAGGUACUUCUAUUUCUCUUGUUUGUUAUGAAGCUAAUAUGAUUGAUGUUAAUCAUAACACGUAGUGGAUUGAUUUUGAUUCUACAAUCCAUAUUACGAAUUCUUUGUAGGACUUAACAAACCUGCAGAAGCAAGUGCAAGCUAAGAGAACUAUUUAUUCAGGAAACAAGAUGCAGUCGCGUGUAGAAUCUAUUGAAACAUGCACUUUAUUUCUUAGCAGUGGUUUUAUUAUAGAGUUGGAA
rnacentral:lncRNA from 1 species